CCUACGGGGGGCAGCAGUGGGGAAUAUUGGACAAUGGGGGCAACCCUGAUCCAGCCAUGCCGCGUGUGUGAAGAAGGCCCUCGGGUUGUAAAGCACUGUCAGUGAGGAAGAACGCCUGGUGGUGAAUACCCAUCAGGAAAGACAUCACUCACAGAAGAAGCACCGGCUAACUCCGUGCCAGCAGCCGCGGUAAUACGGAGGGUGCGAGCGUUAAUCGGAAUUACUGGGCGUAAAGCGCGCGUAGGUGGCUUGAUAAGCCGGUUGUGAAAGCCCCGGGCUCAACCUGGGAACGGCAUCCGGAACUGUCAAGCUAGAGUGCAGGAGAGGAAGGUAGAAUUCCCGGUGUAGCGGUGAAAUGCGUAGAGAUCGGGAGGAAUACCAGUGGCGAAGGCGGCCUUCUGGACUGACACUGACACUGAGGUGCGAAAGCGUGGGUAGCAAACAGGAUUAGAUACCCUUGUAGUC
rnacentral:rRNA from 1 species